AAAAAGGGUUGGUUGGCUAAAUAUGCUACGCUCACCCUCGUUUGGUGGGUGCUUAAUGGCUAUCAAGACAUAUGGCCGACAUAAUUUGUGGAACCCUAAUAGGGUUGGCUCGCUUGGCCGACCCUCUUA
rnacentral:snRNA from 1 species